rnacentral:tRNA from 1 species
GCCGGUGUGGCGCAGUUGGUAGCGCAGACGACUUGUAAUCGUCAGGUCGUGGGUUCGACUCCCACCGCCGGCU